CUACGGGACGCACCAGUGGGGAAUAUUGCACAAUGGGCGCAAGCCUGAUGCAGCCAUGCCGCGUGUAUGAAGAAGGCCUUCGGGUUGUAAAGUACUUUCAGCGGGGAGGAAGGGAGUAAAGUUAAUACCUUUGCUCAUUGACGUUACCCGCAGAAGAAGCACCGGCUAACUCCGUGCCAGCAGCCGCGGUAAUACGGAGGGUGCAAGCGUUAAUCGGAAUUACUGGGCGUAAAGCGCACGCAGGCGGUUUGUUAAGUCAGAUGUGAAAUCCCCGGGCUCAACCUGGGAACUGCAUCUGAUACUGGCAAGCUUGCGUCGCGUAGAGGGGGGUAGAAUUCCAGGUGUAGCGGUGAAAUGCGUAGAGAUCUGGAGGAAUACCGGUGGCGAAGGCGGCCCCCUGGACGAAGACUGACGCUCAGGUGCGAAAGCGUGGGGAGCAAACAGGAUUAGAUACCCGGGUAGUC
rnacentral:rRNA from 1 species